rnacentral:lncRNA from 1 species
UUAGAGAAAUGCGUUAUCUUUGUGUAGCCACAAAUAUCUCGAUUUUGGAAUUAUGUACAGUAUUUGUAAUCAUAUCCAUCGCUGCAAAUCAGCAUCAACAAUUUUGACUUCUGCUCAGUCUCUGUAUCCAUUAUCCAUCAUUCCCCAUUCUCACUCUCAACCUACAUUUCAUACUCCCAGAUCCCUCACUUACAGGUAACUAACUAACAAAACAAAUAAAACACUCUUCAAUCCACUCAUCUAUUUUUUGCCAAG